rnacentral:lncRNA from 1 species
CCUGGGAGGCGGAGGUUGCAGUGAGCUGAGAUCAUUUCACUGUACUUCAGCCUGGACGACAGAGUGAGACUUUGUCUCAAAAAAAAAAAAAAAAAAAAAUUUUGAGGCUAGACCAUACUGGGUUCAAAUCCACAUUUAAUACUAGGGCUGCCAUAACAAAGUACCACAGGCUGGGUGGUUUAAACAACAGAAAUGUAUUUUCUCUCAAUUCUGGAGGCAAGAAGUCUGAGAUGAAGGUGUUGACAGGAUUGGUGUCUUCUGAGACUGCACUUCUUGGCCUGGGGGUGGCUGUCUUCUCCUUGUGUCUUCACGUGGACUCCCCUUGCUCUGUGUUGUAAUUUUCUCUUGCUACUAUUAGGACACUAAUCAUAUUGGGUUAGGGCUCACCCUGGUGACCUCAUUUUAUCAUAGUUACUUCUUUAAAGAUCUAUCUCCAAAUAUGGUCCUAUUCUGAGUUGGUAGCGGCUAGAACUUCAACAUAUUAAUUGGGUGGAAUGCAGUUCAGCUCAUAACAGGAGACAAGAAGCAGAAACUGAGAGGGGAGUGCGGAGGAUGAUAAAAAAGGGGAUCCCGCAGUGGCUUACACCUGUAAUCCCAGCACUUUGGGAGGCUGAGG